rnacentral:rRNA from 1 species
AUUGAACGCUGGCGGCAUGCCUAACACAUGCAAGUCGAGCGGAGCGGCGGAUGGGUGAGUAAUGCCUAGGAAUCUGCCUGGUAGUGGGGGAUAACGUCCGGAAACGGGCGCUAAUACCGCAUACUAUCAGAUGAGCCUAGGUCGGAUUAGCAAGUUGGUGGGGUAAUGGGCUACCAAGGCGAUGAUACGUAACUGAUCUGAGAGGAUGAUCAGUCAGACUGGAACUGAAACACGGUCCAGAAUCAUACGGGAGGCAGCAGUGGGGAAUAUGGGACAAUGGGCGAAAGCCUGAGCCAGCCAUGCCGCGUGUGUGAAGAAGGUCGUCGGAUUGUAAAGCACUUUAAGUUGGGAGGCAUUGCCAACAGAAUAAGCACCGGAUAACUUCGUGCCAGCAGCCGCGGUAAUAC